rnacentral:lncRNA from 1 species
UACGAAGUUCAAUUUGGCAUUUGAAAUCACAGGAUUCACUGAAAUUUCACGAUGUCAGAAUGUAAAAUUCACGAUGUCAGAAUGUCAACAUGGGCGACACUGGCGACAUCUAGUAAUGAGUCUUGAAUCUUACGUUAGUUGCACAUCAGUCAGUCAUGACACAGACAUGACACAUUACAUUACACGUCGUUACUUUCAUAAGUUACUUAAAAAGUUUAACAACAGAGAUUGGAUAACAAGUUAACUGUUUUUACGUAAUAGAUAAAACAAUCUUUAGCCAUGCUUUAGCUGAUGUUUCUUACUGCAUCCUUGACCGCUUGACAAUGUUUUCAGAUAAUUUCAGCCGAAGUUUUCAUGUACCGGGCCAACUUAGGUGCUCAUGACAUUAGAAAUGAAAUGGUCUAAUCUAAUAAUGCAAGCUCACAACCUGUCUUCUGAAGCAAAAUAAUUUUUGUUGCAAGUUGUAGAUCUUCAAGAUAUUUAUGCCUUCGCCAGAUCCAAUUCUUUGCUGCUAUCUAUUUUGGGUACAACAGUGAGAAAAUGCUGCUACGCAAGAUUAUGUGGUGUUCUUAGUUCUAAUUUAGGACAAUGUUAAUCCCUCUCCACUGUUCUAGUUCCUUGGAAACCGACGAGAGAUUGCUGGAAUUGAAGACUGAUAAUUUGUGUUGAUGUAGAUAACUUACAAGUGCAUAAUCUGGGCUCCCUUCUUUUCUGUGGCCCCGUAUCCAUAACUAACACUAACCAACGCCCGCCGGUGGUCACUCACUCGCUGUGUCAACCAGGAGGAGGGGAGGGCUCUGGUCGAACGGAGACUUGGAAGGCCCCUGAUCUGAUGAAAACAUUUGGAGGGUCAUGAGUCUAAACCGAAAACCUAGUAUGACUAUAUCUCUCCAGUAAAACUGGCCUCGAACUUCUCUCUUCUUCUUCUCGGUCCAGAUACUAUCUCUGGUGGCCGUCGACAAUUCCAACUGCAUGUGCGAGUUUUAACAAAGCAAUGCGCAGCCCAGAGACAAAAAGCGAUGUUUAAUUUUUGUCAAAUUAGAAAUUUUUU